UAGGGAAUCUUCGGCAAUGGACGAAAGUCUGACCGAGCAACGCCGCGUGAGUGAAGAAGGUUUUCGGAUCGUAAAACUCUGUUGUUAGAGAAGAACAAGGACGUUAGUAACUGAACGUCCCCUGACGGUAUCUAACCAGAAAGCCACGGCUAACUACGUGCCAGCAGCCGCGGUAAUACGUAGGUGGCAAGCGUUGUCCGGAUUUAUUGGGCGUAAAGCGAGCGCAGGCGGUUUCUUAAGUCUGAUGUGAAAGCCCCCGGCUCAACCGGGGAGGGUCAUUGGAAACUGGGUGACUUGAGUGCAGAAGAGGAGAGUGGAAUUCCAUGUGUAGCGGUGAAAUGCGUAGAUAUAUGGAGGAACACCAGUGGCGAAGGCGGCUCUCUGGUCUGUAACUGACGCUGAGGCUCGAAAGCGUGGGGAGCAAACAGG
rnacentral:rRNA from 1 species